UACGGAGGGUGCGAGCGUUGUCCGGAAUCAUUGGGCGUAAAGGGCGCGUAGGUGGCCCGGUCAGUUCGUGGUGAAAGCGCGGGGCUCAACCCUGCGUCGGCCAUGAAUACUGCCGCGGCUCGAGCACUGUAGAGGCAGGCGGAAUUCCGGGUGUAGCGGUGGAAUGCGUAGAGAUCCGGAAGAACACCGGUGGCGAAGGCGGCCUGCUGGGCAGUUUAGCUGACACUGAGGCGCGACAGCGUGGGGAGCAAACAGG
rnacentral:rRNA from 1 species